GAAUUUUGGACAAUGGGCGAAAGCCUGAUCCAGCCAUGCCGCGUGUGUGAAGAAGGUCUUCGGAUUGUAAAGCACAUUAAGGUGGGAGGAAGGGCAGUAAGCGACUACGUUGCUGUCUUGACGUUACUGACAAAAUAAGAACAGGCUAACUCUGUGCCCGCAGCCGCGGUAAGAACGAGGGUGAAAGCGUUAAUCGGAAUGACUGGGCGUAAAGCGCGCGUAGGUGGUGCGUUAAGUUGGAUGUUAAAUCCCCGGGCUCAACCUGGGAACUGCAUCCAAAACGGGCGAGCUAGAGUAGGGCAGAGGGUGGUGGAAUUUCCUGUGUAGCGUUGAAAUGCGUAGAUAUAGGAAGGAACACCAGUGGCGAAGGCGACCACCUGGGCUCAUACUGACACUGAGGUGCGAAAGCGUGGGGAGCAAACA
rnacentral:rRNA from 1 species